CCUACGGGGGGCUGCAGUGGGGAAUAUUGGGCAAUGGGCGCAAGCCUGACCCAGCAACGCCGCGUGAAGGAAGAAGGCUUUCGGGUUGUAAACUUCUUUUAAGAGGGAAGAGCAGAAGACGGUACCUCUUGAAUAAGCCACGGCUAACUACGUGCCAGCAGCCGCGGUAAUACGUAGGUGGCAAGCGUUGUCCGGAUUUACUGGGUGUAAAGGGCGUGCAGCCGGGAAGACAAGUCAGAUGUGAAAGCCCGCGGCUCAACCGCGGAACUGCAUUUGAAACUGUUUUUCUUGAGUACCGGAGAGGUCAUCGGAAUUCCUUGUGUAGCGGUGAAAUGCGUAGAUAUAAGGAAGAACACCAGUGGCGAAGGCGGAUGACUGGACGGCAACUGACGGUGAGGCGCGAAAGCGUGGGGAGCAAACAGGAUUAGAUACCCCGGUAGUC
rnacentral:rRNA from 1 species